rnacentral:rRNA from 1 species
UCCUACGGGAGGCAGCAGUAGGGAAUCUUCGGCAAUGGGGGCAACCCUGACCGAGCAACGCCGCGUGAGUGAAGAAGGUUUUCGGAUCGUAAAGCUCUGUUGUAAGAGAAGAACGUGUGUGAGAGUGGAAAGUUCACACAGUGACGGUAACUUACCAGAAAGGGACGGCUAACUACGUGCCAGCAGCCGCGGUAAUACGUAGGUCCCGAGCGUUGUCCGGAUUUAUUGGGCGUAAAGCGAGCGCAGGCGGUUUAAUAAGUCUGAAGUUAAAGGCAGUGGCUUAACCAUUGUUCGCUUUGGAAACUGUUAGACUUGAGUGCAGAAGGGGAGAGUGGAAUUCCAUGUGUAGCGGUGAAAUGCGUAGAUAUAUGGAGGAACACCGGUGGCGAAAGCGGCUCUCUGGUCUGUAACUGACGCUGAGGCUUGAAAGCGUGGGGAGCAAACAGGAUUAGAUACCCUGGUAGUCC